rnacentral:rRNA from 1 species
UCGAGAAUCUUCGGCAAUGGACGAAAGUCUGACCGAGCAAUGCCGCGUGCGGGAUGAAGGCCUUCGGGUUGUAAACCGCGAAAGUAAGGAGGAAGGCUCUGUGAAGAGCAGAGUUUGACCAAUUUACAGUAAGGACGGGCUAAGUUCGUGCCAGCAGCCGCGGUAAGACGAACCGUCCAAACGUUAUUCGGAAUUAUUGGGCUUAAAGGGUGCGUAGGCGGCGCUGUAAGUCAGGUGUGAAAUCCCACGGCUCAACCGUGGAACUGCGCUUGAUACUGUAGUGCUUGAGGGAGACAGAGGUAAGCGGAACUGAUGGUGGAGCGGUGAAAUGCGUUGAUAUCAUCAGGAACACCAGUGGCGAAAGCGGCUUACUGGGUCUCUUCUGACGCUGAGGCACGAAAGCUAGGGUAGCGAACGGGAUUAGAUACCCCCGUAGUCC